UACAAUAUUUUAAAGACUCCAUUACAUUGUCAUUACAUGUUUACAGUACUUACUGUACGAACAUUUCGAACUCCAACAGUCUGCUCCCGAGGAGUAAAUUAUUAAUAUUAUUUUUAAACUAUAGACUAUAGUAAUAAAAUAAUAACAUAUUAUUUAUUGUAAAUUUUAUGUGUUCCUGUGAGAAAUGUAGUGUAAUGCCAACAACUGAGGAGUGUUUAUGCUGUAUGGAAAUUAUGAAAAUUAAAGAUAAUUCAUUGAAGAUGCCCCAGCUAUUGUUGAUGGAAAUAUGAAAUGCAUUACACAGCAUCCUGGAUUUAGAUCUAUCUGCCUUGACAUAUGGGCAUUACAACUGGCCUAUGAUGAAAUUCCAAAGAAAGGCAAGAGAGAAGGGACCACACAUUAAAAAUAUCGACAUACAAGUUACAGAAAUUUUGUAAAAUGGAUAUGGGGAUACAGAGGAAAACAUCAGCGUACUGUAAUACCUGCAUGUGCCAUUAUCAAAAUUCGCAGCAAAUUUUAAUCAAAAAAAUAUGUUAAUUCAAGUAUCCACCUUUAUAAUUUCUGUCUCAUCAAUGCCAGUUUUAAUUCACAUUUUUGUCCAGGCAAAUAUAUUUACAUUCAGGAUACACUGUAAUACAUUUAAAUUUCCAUCAAAGCUUUUAAAAAUUCCCAUGGAGCAUAAGCACUCUUUAUAUGAUGUAGUUAUGCUACAUUUCUCGCAGAAAAUCUUAAAAAUACUACUAGGUUGUGUCAUUACAUACUGACUUAUUGUCAAUGUAACUGACAAAGCAAACUAUAUUGGAAGUACAUGUGUACAAUAAAAAAUAAACUACAUUAUUUAAACUUU